CUCCGGGAACCGGGGCUAAUACCGGAUGGUUGUUUGAACCGCAUGGUUCAGACAUAAAAGGUGGCUUCGGCUACCACUUACAGAUGGACCCGCGGCGCAUUAGCUAGUUGGUGAGGUAACGGCUCACCAAGGCGACGAUGCGUAGCCGACCUGAGAGGGUGAUCGGCCACACUGGGACUGAGACACGGCCCAGACUCCUACGGGAGGCAGCAGUAGGGAAUCUUCCGCAAUGGACGAAAGUCUGACGGAGCAACGCCGCGUGAGUGAUGAAGGUUUUCGGAUCGUAAAGCUCUGUUGUUAGGGAAGAACAAGUGCCGUUCAAAUAGGGCGGCACCUUGACGGUACCUAACCAGAAAGCCACGGCUAACUACGUGCCAGCAGCCGCGGUAAUACGA
rnacentral:rRNA from 1 species